rnacentral:lncRNA from 1 species
AGUGAGAAACAGCCGGCGCUGGGAAAGGAACGGUGCAGCGACCGACCAACUGCGCGCUCGGUGCCACCAAAGUGCUACUGGCUCUACCCACUCUGUCCCCCACGGGCUUAGGGAAGUCUGAUGUCUUUUUCUUUUCUUUUUUCCUCUGUCGCCUAGGCUGGUGCAGUGGUGUCAUCUUGGCUCAGUGCAGCCUCGACUUCCUGGGAUCCAGCGAUCCUCCCGCUUCAGCCUCUAGAGUAGCCGAGACCACAGGAACAGAAACAACACACUCAGACUUGAGAAACUGGUCUGGUUUAAAAGGGUUCCUGGCCUUACAGGUGGGUAAGAAAUGUCACUUCCUGGCAGGCUGAGGAACAUCAGGAUAUUUGGAGGACCUUGACAAGGGAAGAAUUCACCGAAAUCUAUAGGUAUUCCAGGCAAAGUGUGAUAGCAAGAUCCUGGUAUGGUUUCCUAGCCUUGAGAGGCUUUUAAAAGUCUAAUUUGAGAUUCCUUAUUAAAAGAUCCAGAAAAGCCAACUUAAAGAGACCCUGUGUGGUAAAACACUAUUCCUGCUGCACUUGUGUAAAUAUUAGGCCAACUUUAAAGACACUAAAUUUAUUUUGCAAACAGAUUACUCUUACUAAUACUUUGAUGAUGUUUGAUAAAAAGGGAGUAAGUAUAGAGAAAAAACUUUCAGAGAAAAAAAUAUAGUGCACCUGUUAUUAGACUCUAGCUCAUUGUUUUUGAGGUUUUUUCGUCUACCUGAAAUCUAGACUGGAUCUUGAAUUUUUUGUUUCCUGUAAUAUCUGGCAAUGGGCUGGGUGUCAGAGCUCGCAACUGCAAUCCCAGCACUUUGGGAGGUCGAGGUGGGAGGAUUGCUGAAGCCCAAGACUUCGAGACCAGCCUGGGCAAAAGGCGAAACACCGUCUCUACAAAAAGUUCAAAAAUUUGCUGGGCAUGGAGGCAUGCGCCUGUGGUUGCAGCUGCUUGGAAGGUGGAGGUGGAAGGAUUGCUUGAGCCAAGGAGGUUGAGGCUGCAGUAAGCCUUGUUUGUGCCACUGCACUCCAGCCUCAAUUACAAAGCAAGGACCCCAUCUCAAAAAAAAAAAAAAAAAGGGCUGGACGCAUUGGCUCAUGCCUGUAAUCCCAGCACUUUGGCAGGUUGAGGCAGGUGGAUCACUUGAGGCUAGGAGUUCGAGGCCAGCCUGGCCAACAUGGUGAAAACCCAUCUCUACAAAAAAUACAAAAAUUAGCUGGGUGUGGUGGUGUGCACCUGUAAUUCUAGCUACUCGGGAGGCAGGGGCAGGAGAAUUGCUUGAACACAGAGGUGAAUGUUGCAGUGAGUGGAGAUGGUGACACUGUACUCCAGCCUGGGCGACAGAGCAAGACUUCACCUAAAAAAAAAAAAAGUCUAGCUAUGGCUCUUAAAACUAAUAUUUCUGAUUUUUCUUCUACCCUUCUGGCUUUGAACUGCUGAAAUUAAACUGCACUUUUCCUGAAGUCUUGUCAGCUGAAGCUGGAUGGGUUAAUAUAGACUGCAGAGAAAUCACCACCACUCAUACAUGGACUACUCAGAAAUUUCACCAGAACACCUCAUGCAAACUGCAAACCAGGAAAUUCCGUCAGAUUGCCACUGCCUGCCCCCAUUCAAACUGAAGAUACUUCAAGCUUAACAUCUAAAACUUUCUGACUGGCUGCCCUCUGGACUAAAAAAACUGAGUUUAUAGUCAGUUCCAAUCAUUAACCUUUGCUUUUCUCGUUUCAAUGAAAAUAUCUUUUUUUUUUUUUUUUUUUGAGACAGAGUUUUGCUGUUGUUGCCCAGGCUGGAGUGCAAUGGUACAAUCUCGGCUCAUUGCAACUUCCACCUUCUGGGUUCAAGUGAUUCUCCUGCCUCAGCCUCCUGAGUAGCUGCGAUUAUAGGAAUGUGCCACCACACCUGGCUAAUUUUGUAUUUUUAGUAGAGACAGGGUUUCUCCAUGUUGGUCAGGCUGGUCUCAAACUCCCUAGGUGAUCCGCCCGCCUCGGCCUCCCAAAGUGCUGGGAUUAUAGGCAUGAGCCACCACACCUGGCUGGAAAUAUCUCUUAUUAAAUGAAUGAUUGCUUAGGCCUAACUUUGGUGGAUGCCAUUCUGCAAUCCCACCACCUGACUCGAGACAGUCCUGUUAACUGUUUAACUGGACUGACCUAUUCUCAGGACUGAGAGACUGGUAUAAUGACUAGAUAAUAUAGUGACCCAGUUCCUGAACCGAGAAACUUUAUAAGGAGGUUUCAUGGUACCUUGGCAAUUGAGAAAACCAAAGAAGCAAGAAGGUCAGUAUUACCACAAUCACUAUGCCUUUCUGUGUGGCAGCUGGCCAUAAAGGAAUGCUCUGACCUACCUCCCCUGAAAGUAGGGCAUAAAGCCCUUAUUCCAGAGGAGUACUUCUUUACCCAGAGGCCAAAAGAAUCUGAACAGACAGCCAUUUCUGGGCUCCCCAGUGCCCAUUUAUUAGCACUAGAUAAUAUACUUAUUGUCCAAUCAUACUUCUACAUGACUUGUCCAUAGAAUCCAAGCCUAAAAAUACAUACUUUUCAUUGGGUCUUUGGUCCUCAUUUCUGAGGGCUCCCUUGUCAUGGAAAACUUUGUUAAAUAAUUUUUUAAUGGUUUUCUCUUGUUAAUCUGUUUUGUUGUAAGAUUGCAAGCCAUAACCCUGGCAAUGGGUGACAAAAAACUAUUAACUUCUUGUCUCCUACAAUAGACACUGUUAGUAACUGGACUCUACCCUCCCAUGGAAUUUCCCUCACUUCUUUUCUUGCCUGAUUCAAUCAUAACAACCCUGCUGACUUUCAAUUGUGCCUACAAUUUUCACCUUAAUCCUAUCAGGUCCUGAAGAAAUUUUUCCAGAUGAAUUAGUGAUCAUCUCCCAACUAUUUGGACUUUGGUGUCUGCCAUUCUGUAUAUAACAGAACAUACUAUAAAAGCACAGUCUGUACUGGACAGAAUCAUUUACUCCCUUUCCUAGACCAGCCACGUAGCUUGGCCUGAUCUGGAGGCUAAAAUAUGGAGCCCCAUUCAUCAUCUUUGGAAGAGCUGUCUUGAAGGCAGCAUGUCCAGAGCCCCACAUGCCACCAGACUUAAGCCUAAAGUAAGCUGGGAUUGGGCAAUGGACAACUUCACUGCACUGAGCCACCACUGCCAAUGUCCCCAGUUCUGUGCACAUAUGAAGUACAGUGCAUUCAGGCUGCCAUGCUGGGCUUACAUAGGCUAGAGUCAUUUCUGAAGUUUAAAGGGGACAAAAAUGUUGUUGAGACCCACACUCUGGGGCCAAUGGCUGAAACCACAGAAGAGCUACACUCACUUGAAAAAUAAGUGUAUGCUGAGAUCGUUCGAAGAUGGCUGAAUAGGAACAGCUCCAGUCUAAAGCUCCCAGCGUGAGCAACACAGAAGACAGGUGAUUUCUGCAUUUCCAACUGAGCUUUGAAGAGAGCAGUUGUUCUCCCAGCAUGGAGUUUGAGAUCUGAGAACGGACAGACUGCCUCCUUAAGUGGGUCCCUGGCCCCCGAGUAGCCUAACUGGGAGACACCUCCCAGUAGGGGCCAACUGACACCUCAUACAGCCGGGUGCCCCUCUGAGACGAAGCUUCCAGAGGAAGGAUCAGGAAGCAACAUUUGCUAUUCUGCAAUAUUUGCUGUUCUGCAGCCUCCACUGGUGAUACCCAGGCAAAUAAGGUCUGGAGUGGACCUCCAGCAAACUCCAACAGACCUGCAGCUGAGGGUUCUGACUGUUAGGAGGAAAACUAACAAACAGAAAGGAAUAGUAUCAACACCAACAAAAAGGACAUCCACACCAAACCCCAUCUGUAGGUUACCAUCAUCAAAGACCAAAGGUAGAUAAAACCACAAAGAUGGGGAGAAACCAGAGCAGAAAAGCUGAAAAUUCUAAAAUCAGAGCAUUUCUUCUCCUCCAAAGAAUCACAGCUCCUCGCCAUCAACGGAACAAAGCUGGACAGAGAAUAACUUUGACGAGGUGACAGAAGUAGGCUUCAGAAGAUCGGUAAUAACAAACUUCUCCGAGCUAAAGGAGGAUGUUCAAACUCAUCGCAAAGAAGCUAAAAACCUUGAAAAAAGAUUAGACGAAUGGCUAACUGGAAUAAACAGCAUAGAGAAGACCUUAAAUGACCUGAUGGAGCUGAAAACCAUGGCACAAGUACUACGUGAUGCAUGCACAAGCUUCAGUAGCCGAUUUGAUCAAGUGGAAGAAAGCGUAUCAGUGAUUGAAGAUCAAAAGAAUGAAAUGAAGUGAGAAGUUAGAGGAAAAAAGAGUAAAAAGAAAUGAACAAAGCCUCCAAGAAAUAUGGGACUAUGUGAAAGGGCCAAAUCUACAUUUGAUUGGUGUACCUGAAAGUGACAGGGAGAAUGGAACCAAGUUGGAAAACACUCUUCAGGAUAUUAUCCAGGAGAACUUCCCCAACCUAGCAAGGCAGGUCAACAUUCAAAUUUAGGAAAUGCAGAGAAUGCCACAAAGAUACUCCUCAAGAAGAGCAACCCCAAGACACAUAAUCGUCAGAUUCACCAAGGUUGAAAUGAAGGAAAAAAAGGUUAAGGGCAGCCAGAGAGAGGUCAGGUUACCCACAAAAGGAAGCCCAUCAGACUAACGGUGGCUCUCUCAGCAGAAACUCUACAAGCCAGAAGAGAGUGGGGGCCAAUAUUCAACAUUCUUAAAGAAUUUUCAACCCAGAAUUUCAUAUCCAGCCAAACUAAGCUUCAUAAGUGAAGGAAACAUAAAAUCCUUUACAGACAAGCAAGUGCUGAGAGAUUUUGUCACCACCAGGCCUGCCUUACAAGAGCUCCUGAAGGAAGCACUAAAGGAACAACCGGUACCAGCCACUGCAAAACAUGCCAAAUUGUAAAGACCAUUGGUGCUAGGAAGAAACUGCAUCAACUAACAAGCAAAAUAACCAGCUAACAUCAUAAUGACAAGAUCAAGUUCACACGUAACAAUACUAACCUUAAAUGUAAAUGGGCUAAAUGCCCCAAUUAAAAGACACAGACUGGCAAAUUGGAUAAAGAGUCAAGACCCAUCAGUGUGCUGUAUUCAGGAGACCCAUCUCACCUGCAGAGACACACAUAGGCUCAAAAUAAAGAGAUGGAGGAAGAUCUACCAAGCAAAUGGAAAACAAAAAAAGCAGGGGUUGCAAACCCACUCUCUGAUAAAACAGAUUUUAAACCAACAAAGAUCAAAAGAGACAAAAGAGACAAAGAAGGCCAUUACAUAAUGGUAAAGGGAUCAAUUCAACAAGAAGAGCUAACUAUCUUAAAUAUAUAUGCACCCAAUACAGGAGCACCCAGAUUCAUAAAGCAAGCCCUUAGAGACCUACAAAGAGACUUAGACUCCCACACAAUAAUAAUGGGAGACUUUAACACUCCACUCUCAACAUUAGACAGAUCAACAAGACAGAAAGUUAACAAGGAUAUCCAGGACUUGAACUCAGCUCUGCACCAAGUGGACCUAAUAGACAUCUACAGAACUCUCCACCCCAAAUCAACAGAAUAUAUACAUUCUUCUCAGCACCACACUGCACUUAUUCCAAAAUUGACCACAUAGUUGGAAGUAAAGCACUCCUCAGCAAACGUAAAAGUACAGAAAUUAUAACAAACUGUCUCUCAGACCAUAGUGCAAUCAAAUUAGAACUCAGGAUUAAGAAACUCACUCAAAACCGCAAAACUACAUGGAAAUUGAAUAACCUGCUCCUGAAUGACUACUGGGUACAUAACUAAAUGAAGGCAGAAAUAAAGAUGUUCUUUGAAACCAAUGAGAACAAAGACACAACAUACCAGAAUCUCUGGGACACAUUUAAAGCAGUGUGUAGAGGGAAAUUUAUAGCACUAAAUGCCCACAAGAGAAAGCAGGAAAGAACUAAAACUGACACGCUAACAUCACAAUUAAAAGAACUAGAGAAGCAAGAGCAAACAUAUUCAAAAGCUAGCAGAAGGCAAGAAAUAACUAAGAUCAGAGCAGAACUAAAGGAGACAGAGACACAAAAAACCCUUCAAAACAUCAAUGGUAUCCAGGAGCUGGUUUUUGGAAAAGAUCAACAAAAUUGAUAGACCACUAGCAAGACUAAUAAAGAAGAAAAGAGAGAAGAAUCAAAUAGACGCAAUAAAAAAUGAUAAAGGGGAUAUCACCACCGAUCCCACGGAAAUACAAACUACCAUCAGAGAAUACUAUAAACACCUCUAUGUAAAUAAACUAGAAAACCUAAAAGAAAUGGAUAAAUUCCUGGACACAUCCACCCUCCCAAGACUAAACCAGGAAGAAGUUGAAUCCCUGAAUAGACCAAUAACAGGCUCUGAAAUUGAGGCAAUAAUUAAUAGCCUACCAACCAAAAAAAGUCCAGGACCAGAUGGAUUCACAGCCAAAUUCUGUCAGCGGUAGGAAGAGGAGCUGGUACCAUUCCUUCUGAAAUUAUUCCAAUCAGUAGAAAAAGAUGGAAUCCUCCCUAACUCAUUUUAUGAGGCCAGCAUCAUCCUGACACCAAAGCCUGGCAGAGACACAACAAAAAAAGAGAAUUUUAGGCCAAUAUCACUGAUGAACAUCGAUGCAAAAAUCCUCAAUAAAAUACUGGCAAACUGAAUCCAGCAGCACAUCAAAAAGCUUAUCCACCAUGAUCAAGUUGGCUUCAUCCCUAGGGUGCAAGGCUCAUUCAACAUACACAAAUCAAUAAACCUAAUCCAUCAUAUAAACAGAACCAAAGACAAAAACCACAUGAUUAUCUCAAUAGAUGCAGAAAAGACCUUCAACAAAAUUCAACAACGCCUCAUGCUAAAAACUCUCAAUAAACUAGGUAUU